AAAUCCUUUAAAGUGGUCCUGUGAGGCUAACAAGGAAAGACACGACACGAUUAGUUUGUACCUUAGAAAUACUCUAAGUAUGCACUAUUUUCAAUGUUUAAACGUCCAUCCUACUUCACAGCGAAGUAGGAUUUUUUUAUU
rfam:Vagococcus lutrae LBD1 adhBo-supercont1.11, whole genome shotgun sequence.